rnacentral:rRNA from 1 species
CCAUGAAGUCGGAAUCGCUAGUAAUCGUGGAUCAGAAUGCCACGGUGAAUACGUUCCCGGGCCUUGUACACACCGCCCGUCACACCAUGGGAGUGGGUUGCAAAAGAAGUAGGUAGCUUAACCUUCGGGAGGGCGCUUACCACUUUGUGAUUCAUGACUGGGGUGAAGUCGUAACAAGGUAACCGUAGGGGAACCUGCGGUUGGAUCACCUCCUUACCUUAAAGAAGC